rnacentral:rRNA from 1 species
ACACGUGAUUCAGAGUUUGAUCCUGGCUCAGAUUGAACGCUGGCGGCAUGCUUUACACAUGCAAGUCGAGCGGCAGCGCGGGGGCAACCCUGGCGGCGAGCGGCGAACGGGUGAGGAAUACAUUGGAACGUACCCCGGAGUGGGGGAUAACGCCGCGAAAGCGGCGCUAAUACCGCAUAUGCUCUGAGGAGGAAAGUGGGGGACCGCAAGGCCUCACGCUCUGGGAGCGGCCGAUGUCGGAUUAGCUAGUUGGUGGGGUAAUGGCUUACCAAGGCGACGAUCCGUAGCUGGUCUGAGAGGAUGAUCAGCCACACUGGGACUGAGACACGGCCCAG